UUGAGACAGUUUGGAUGUAUAAGAAUUUCCCCCGGGAUACUAAAGUUAUAUCUUAUCUUAAUAUUAGACGUUAACGGCCGCUCAUGCUCAGUACAUGGCAGGCAGUCUGUCAACGUAACCCAAUACUUCGAGUUAUCUCCCCUUUUCGAGUCCUCGAGUCCUAGAAAAUGGACUCGAGGUUCUAAAUGGGCUUCACACA